GACGAACGCUGGCGGCGUGCUUAACACAUGCAAGUCGAACGGAAAGGCCCUGCUUUUGUGGGGUGCUCGAGUGGCGAACGGGUGAGUAACACGUGAGUAACCUGCCCUUGACUUUGGGAUAACUUCAGGAAACUGGGGCUAAUACCGGAUAGGAGCUCCUGCUGCAUGGUGGGGGUUGGAAAGUUUCGGCGGUUGGGGAUGGACCCGCGACGGAUGAGCGAGUUGGUGGGGUGGUGGCCUACCAAGGCUUGGACCCAUGGCUGGCCUGGGAGGAUGAUCGGCCACGCUGGGACUGAGACACGGCCCAGACUCCUACGGGAGGCAGCAGUGGGGAAUAUUGGACAAUGGGCGAAAGCCUGAUCCAGCAAUGCCGCGUGAGUGAUGAAGGCCUUAGGGUUGUAAAGCUCUUUUACCCGGGAUGAUAAUGACAGUACCGGGAGAAUAAGCGCCGGCUAACUCCGUG
rnacentral:rRNA from 1 species